rnacentral:rRNA from 1 species
GUGGGGAAUUUUGGACAAUGGGCGCAAGCCUGAUCCAGCAAUGCCGCGUGCAGGAAGAAGGCCUUCGGGUUGUAAACUGCUUUUGUACGGAACGAAACGGUCCUGGUUAAUACCUGGGGCUAAUGACGGUACCGUAAGAAUAAGCACCGGCUAACUACGUGCCAGCAGCCGCGGUAAUACGUAGGGUGCGAGCGUUAAUCGGAAUUACUGGGCGUAAAGCGUGCGCAGGCGGUGCUGUAAGACAGGCGUGAAAUCCCCGGGCUCAACCUGGGAAUUGCGCUUGUGACGGCAGUGCUGGAGUACGGCAGAGGGGGAUGGAAUUCCGCGUGUAGCAGUGAAAUGCGUAGAUAUGCGGAGGAACACCGAUGGCGAAGGCAGUCCCCUGGGCCUGUACUGACGCUCAUGCACGAAAGCGUGGGGAGCAAACAGGAUUAGAUACCCCGGUAGUCC